GUCAGUGUGUCCGAGUGGUUAAGGAGACAGACUUGAAAUCUGUUGGGCUCUGCCCGCACAGGUUCAAAUCCUGUCGCUGACG
rnacentral:tRNA from 1 species